CGGCGGGGCCUCGGCACAGCGCUCCAGGGACACCCGAGAGGGCGGGCCUGGGACGGCGUCCCCCUCCCGUUCCCAUCCUCGGGGCCCUUCUCGCCUCGCUGUCCCCACCCUGUUCCUCCCCACCGUGGCGAGAUGCUGCUGCGAGAGCUGGAGCCCCCCCCCAGCACAGUGAAAGUGACCCAAAAUGGGCAUUUUGCCGAGUUUUUUCACUGCUGUCAUGUUUCAUGAUGUUUAUUUCCCCAGGACUCCUCUUUGGGUUGUUUACUCGUUUUAUUUGCAGUGGGUUUGGGCUGAGAGACUCCAGCUCAUCUACACCCUGUGCUGUGGGGUUUGGGUCAGUAAGUCUUUUAGGAGCCCUGUUUUUGGUUUAGGAGCCCUCUUUUUGGUUUAUUAGACACAGUAAACCAAAAGAAACAGCAAAACCGCCCCACAAAGUGAACCUGUGUGGUUUUUCACUGUGUUUUUUCCAGUUAUAAGUCAGGUGCAGGUAAUGAAGAGGAUGAAACAUCACAAAGUCUUAGCAUAAAGCCUUCUGGUAAAUCUUAAAAUUAACUCUGGCACCCUUGGUGGUUUUAAGACCAGAUAAUAUAGCGGUGUUGAGCUGCUGGAUACCAAGGAGAUGUAUCUGGGGAAAGCUGAUUUUUUGCUAGCUUUUCCAUAGUCAUCCUUCAGGCACCCACAGCUGAAUAUUGCUGAGCCAGAUGUGGGGCUAGAGGAAUGUCAUUUUGGGGCAAUAUGUGUGUUUCCAUGUAUUAAGCACUAGAGAGAUGUUAUAGUUUUGUAGAGCAAAGGCAUAGGUUUAAAAUAAGAUGAAUUUUAAUUUAUAAGCUUUGUUUGAUGAGAUAGAUACAAUUCUGCAGGAAUUUUGGGUUAAAACUGAAAGCUCUGCUCAGCAUGACACGAGCUAGUGCACUGUCUCAGAGGAACUUGCCUGAUUAGCACUCAACAGAGGUUAAAAAACCCCCCUUAUUUCAUACAGUUCUGACACUUUUGGGGGCCUAAUCUGCAUAUCUUGAUAGUGAUGUUUCUGUAUCAAUCCCGUGGAGGGUUUUUUGAGUGAUGUGGAGUUAACUCCAGCUGAAGAGCUGCUCCACAUGCAGAGCACUGCUCCGUGCACAUCCAUCAUCUUCGGGAGGCAUUAACUAACUGUAUCUAUAAUAGUGAUCAAGGAUGUUUAUUGCCUUUCUUCCAAGCAUAGUUUAGACUUUUUCCUUUUAUUCCCCUCCCAGUAUCUGACCAUGAAAGGGUGCAGAGUGAAAGCUGUUUGCUUAAAUCCAGCUCAGAUAAGAUGAACGGAUAUGAGGUUUGCUUUUACCUAGGAGCACUGUCACGACGGGCAACUUCACAGGCCUGCUGAUUGUUAUUCCUGGCAGCUCAGACCACAGCAACAACUCAAAAAAUGAACAUUCAGUAUCAUUUUAUGAAAGAUUUUUGAAUUUUUUCUUUUUAAAAUGGAUGCAAAGACAGCAUUCUCUGAAAAAGCAAGUGUUGUCAUUCACGUUGUAUUGGACUACAAUGAAAAAGGGUUUUGGAAACUCCCACUGGUGCCACUUAAAACUGGCUAUUAUUCAGGCUUUCAGGGGAAGGAUACUGGGAAAACAGCAGCUAAAGCAUAAUCUUCCAGAUAAACCUAAAGAGCACGAGAGGAAGAGUUUCAGGGUUUUGUUUUUAACAGGUUCAUCACUUGUCUGAUUUUGCCUUGCUCUCCUCUUGCGUGACUUGCUUUUAAAACUCAUAAAAGUCCUGCCAUCAUGAAAUUCUUAAAAAUUUUCAAAUCACGCUACUUGGUGCCUGUGAGGGUUUUUUGGGGGGGCGGGGGGAGGAAAAGGAGAUAAAACCAUAAAUGUACACAACUGAUAUAAAAAUUAGAGUCCCUCAGUGACGCAGCGAGACGCAUUUAGGAUUUGUCAGAAAAAUCAGGAGUUAGCAAACACUGCCAGGCACAUCUUCCUGCAGGAAGAUUUCUGUCCUGUGAGAGAUGUAUAGUCCAUUUUCUCUCUGCAACUGCUUUUAGGUUCUCAGCCCUCUUUUGUUGCCAGUUGUCUUCAAGUUUCACCAUCACUCUUCCUGUGGGGAUCUUGCAGAGCAGUAAUGGAUCUGCUGCGUGAUGCUGGUCCCCAGGGCACCCCAGACAUCCCCUCCUUCACUCUGCCUGUGGCCACUCACCGUGAAUUUCAUUUGCAGGGAGGUGCUCACUCUGAAUCCAGGAAAGGGGAAGGAUUCAGGCAGCAGAAACCAAGCACACUUGAUCCCACUGAGGAGUAUGUCAGACCCUGGAGGCGAAUUCGUGGGACAGAAGUGGAGUGUGAUCAAGAAGCCAAGAAGGAAGAAAAGAAGGAAGAUGAGGAGCAAGACUUUGUAAUGAAGAGUGUUUAAGCAGAAGCAGGGAAUUUUCUGUCACCCGCACUCAAAUUAGCAAAAUACUUUGCAUUUUCACCGUACCUACUGCAGAUCUCAUGGGUGUCAUGAGUGCUCCUGCUCUGCAUACCCCAGAAAUGAGCAAGUUUUAUUCCAUUAGGUAGCAGAAAUCAGUUUUAGAAAGUGAUAAAAGGAAAAUAUUGAAGGCAAUCUUUGAACUGAACAAGUUCAGUAGUGGGUAAGAUACUUUUAAAGGCAAACUACCAACUUCUGCUGUGUUAAACACUGAUUUUUCAGAUAAGUGGAAAGAAAACCAUCAGUUCCUGUAAAUGACUUGAUUUGCUUUUACCACUCAUUUUUUAAAGUUACACAUAUGACUGCAAUGCUGGCUGAGUCUCAGAAACCACCAGUGAAUGUCCACUGUAACUGCUGGAAAGUCAGGAUUUCUCUGUGUGUGGGGAUUGUAUCAUCCCACAAAGAUCACAGGUAGUCUCCCACACAGAUUAGGUGACGUUUUUCAAUCUGUACGAGCACGACUGAAUUUUGGUAUUCAAUAUCAUGAACCAUGUGAUUUCAGGCAAUUGUGGUGCUCUCAAAAUUUGAAGAGAGUCCAUGGAAUGGUAUUUUUAUGUGGAAAACUGAGCAAGUUUUUGCUCAGUGUUGGACCAUCAUCAACAAAAUGCUGCUAAAAUGACUGUGCUGCCAUCUUUCAAGCCACUCAGACAGAAAAAGACACUUUUUAUCACUGAACUACCAGGCAACUCAAGCCACUAGAAAUAGGUUUCUUUGCUUGCUGCUGCAUGUCCUCCCAAGCAGCACCAAAACUCUGAAGGCAAGAUUUUGGCCAGUUUUCAAAACAACCACUGAGCAAUCUGAGUGCAGCUUCUAACCAGCUGCUUGUCCCAGUGUAAAAAGAGGCAGCUCAGCUUUCCAGUGGCACAUUCCCAAGCGCCUGCUUUGCAGGCAGAGGCUGUGCCAGAGGCCUUGGGUAACUGGUGUCUGGUCCUGGCUUGUGCCGGGACCAGCUCUGUGCCUUUGGGCUGGGAUGGUGCUGCAGGGCUUGCAGCAUUGCAGAGCACUUCUCUUGCUCUGGGUGGUGUUUUCUGAGGCAUGUGGAAGUGUGGGGAGUUGUAGGUAUACUCAAACAGCAGUGCCUCCAAGGAUUUUAGCUUUGGAGGAGUUUGGAUCGUGGACCCCACGCAGGAGGCAGUAGCCACUUGGCUGUCAGAAAGGCAGUGGACAGCAGGGCACAAAACCAGCUGGUGUGCAGAGGCAGAGCCCUCGAGGCUCACACUCUGAGGCCAGAUGUCCCAGGAGUGUGUUGGACUGACUCUGUGACACACUUUUUGGUCGCUUUCUGUUAGAGUGUGGGAUUGCCUGGGUUUGCGCAUGUAGUCCCAGGUUUGGAUGGGUGAAUAUUUUUGGCAUUCCCACGGCAUCCAAAAGGCUCAGACAUCUGCAUUUACAAGUUUCUGUCAGGAGGUGACCCAGGGACUCCUUUAAGAGUUACUGGCUCACCCUACCUUAUUUUACAGCUUCCAUGCUCUGUAAGGAGCUCUUGUAUUACACUUAGCAAUGUACAAACCCCGUUCCUUCUGCAUGUGACUGAAACAAGAGACAGGGUUGGUGUCCCACUCAUUCUGGGGAAAUUAUUAACACUUGCUCAGGCCUAUUGAAGCAGGAUUUCCAGUGUGAGUAAAGGAGCACACUGUCUAGUCCCCAUUAUCACUGCUCUUUUCAGCUGAAUAUUCUGUGUAGGUAGAGGAGGUAACAUGAACCAUAAUGCUGUCAGUGUGUGACUGGUACACCUCUUACAUCUCUGAGCGAGGCAGUUCAUUAUCUUUGCUUCCCAGGGGUUGUGAACAAAAUUAAAAUUUCUCUAAGAACAGAUUCCCUGAAGGUUUAGGGUGACCUCUUUUCUCGUUUUGCAUGAUAGGGCCUCAAAUCAAAUGCAACGGUUUUCAGUUAAUAUAUUUCAUUUGUGACAUUGUUGGUAUUUAGGCUUAAAUUCAUAUUCUGUCAAAUCUCAUUAGUUUAUUUUAAUAAGGAUCAUCUUGGUUGUAGCUCCCUGGCUUCAAUUAUAGCUAGGAUAUCUUUUAAUAACCAUGAGAAGCUCUGAUAUCAGUUCCUUAUUUGAGCACUGCUUUGUGGUUUCUUAUGGGACGUGCCUCAAAUGAGAGGUGUUAAUAUUUGAAAAAUAUUUUAGGAGAGAUGCCUCGUGAAAGGUAUCACAGAUCUUUUUCCAUUUGCAUGGCUUAAAAGGUACUUCUGAUUAUUGUCUUGAAGUCUACUAAGGUUUUUGCGUCCUGGAUAUCCAGGAAUAUUUUCUCCAAGGAGUUGUCAUGAGCUGGUGAAAGAGAAGAACGUGACAGCCACCCAUAACUGUGUUAAAGGAUUGUCCUGGGGCAAAGUUUGCAGGGGCAGCAGCUCUGGGGUGGAGGUGCAGCUACAACUGGUUGAGCUGUCCUGGUGAUUCCACGUCUGCUGGUGGAACUUGUGCUGCUGCUGCUGGGAAUUCAUGGAUGGCGUGGCUCCCUACAAAGGAAGCAGUCACUUUGUCUUUUGAGUCUGUUAAUACAUUUUCUGCAGGGAGGCUUCUGUGGUAAUAGAAUGCUCCUUUUUUGACAGCAGUGUUUUUACCUGCAGGUGUGGCUUUCGUGGUGGUUUUUUUUUGAAUUUGCUAGAUUGAAUGCUCAUUAUUUGAGUAUAUAUAUUGGCCAACAGAAAUAAUUUUACUCGUCCUCUAUGCAGGGUUUCCAUCAGUGUAGCUGAGGGAAAGCUGCAUGCAAUAAUUCUCAUUUCCUGUUUACUUGUUCUUGGAAAAAUUGUCAAAAGGGAUGAAAACCUUGUCUGACUUGUGACAAGAUCCAGCGAAUCACUUUUGAUACAAUCUCAUGAUCCCUAUCUGGUGGAGUAUUUUGAAGUGGAGUCUCUGUCAGUACAAAUAAAUUAAACAUAUGCACACAUAAGAUAGUGCUGCCAAGAACUUAAUGAAUUUAAAUGGCUAGGAGUGCAGCAUUUGUACACUGGGGUGCGUUCACACCAUGAUUUUAAAUGCUGUAGACUGUUGGUUUUAAUUUCUUGAGUGAUUCAGUGUGGAAAAUAUUCAUCAGGUUAUAAAAAUGUGUUGACUUUGAUCCUUCUUUAUUUUCUUUUUAGGAAGACUGAAAAUCUUUGCCGUCACAGUAAGUGGAAAAUCAAUAUAAUAAGAAAAUGAUGAUUUACCUUUUCAUAUGGAAAUAUGUCUUCUGAGCACAGUUAGAAAAAGAGUCUUAAAGAGACCAGAUUCAGGGAAUUUUUCCUUUUUAAAUGAGGAUGGUUAUUUAAGAAAAACAAUUUAAAUGGGAGAAAAAUCUUAUUCACCAGUGUUGAAAUUAACUUCACCUGCAUAAAUUCUGAGUUAUAAUCUAUGAAACCAUUCAUAUGAGGAGAACCAAAUGCUGUUGGAAUGCUGAAGUUUUACAGUUGUGAGCUGUGCCACAUUACUAAAAACCAAGCCCUACACAGUAAAAGUCUUUCAGCUCAGCCCAGCUUUCCUCAUACUUUUGCAAUAAAUGCAAAAGGUAAAACCUUAGCAGCAGGAGAAUUUAUCUGUUUUAAAAGGUACAAUACUGCUCUGCAGAGGAUCUAGAAGAAAGGAAGCAGAGUUAACACAUGAAAAACGGUAAAAUAAAUAAAUAAAAAAAUAAAGGUGAUGAAGCCUUGCUGGGCAAAACACAGAAUGAAUAGAGGGCUUCUGUCAUUUGUAGAGGAUGCAAAUUAAAAUAGCAGUUCAGGAUAUAACCCUGCAGAGCUCCAGCCACAGGGACCCUCACCCUGAUCUAUAAAGAGGAUUGGAGUAUUUAAAAAAGGGUUUCCUAUCUUCAGAGCCCCUGCUCCUUUCAAGCUGUACCACAAACCAUUCACCACAAGCGGUAGGCAAAUAACUGGCUGAGCUGGGCAUGAACUGCAAAAAAACUCUUAGAUUUAAAGAAAACAACCCCAGCCAAACAAACAAAAAAAGUUGCUCUUAUACUAUUUUGUGUCAGUGAAUAAUGACAGUGAUGUUUUCAUAACAUUCACAAAUACAUACCUAAAUGCCUUCCUAAAAUACCUAAAAAGCCAUUUUUUAAAUGCUUGUUUCGUUUGUACUUUUAAAAAUAAUUGCUAUGUAUAUGUGUGUGCAUGUCUUUUUUUGAACCUGACAGUAUUUCUGUCCCCACCAAUGAAGAUUUCUGUGAAAGAUGCCACAGUGAAUAAAAAAACAACCCUUCUUUAGUUCUUUCUUGCAUCAUAUACUAAUUUUCAGGUGGAUCUAAUACUGUCUUUUUGUCCAAUUAUUUGUGCAUUAUUGGAUAAUACCAAGAGAGAUUAAAGAAUUUGUUCUUCAGUCUUCA